rnacentral:rRNA from 1 species
CCAUACCACCCUCAACUCACUUGAUCUUGUCUGAUUUUGGAAGCUAAGUAGGGUCAGGUCAAGUUACUGCUUGCAUGGGAGAUCGUUAACAAAUGCUAGGUG